AAACUUAAAUGAAUUGACGGGGGCCCGCACAAGCGGUGGAGCAUGUGGUUUAAUUCGACGCAACGCGCAGAACCUUACCAACCCUUGACAUGUCCAGUAUGGUUUCCAGAGAUGGAUUCCUUCAGUUCGGCUGGCUGGAACACAGGUGUUGCAUGGCUGUCGUCAGCUCGUGUCGUGAGAUGUUGGGUUAAGUCCCGCAACGAGCGCAACCCUCGCCUUUAGUUGCCAUCAUUUAGUUGGGCACUCUAGAGGGACUGCCGGUGAUAAGCCGGAGGAAGGUGGGGAUGACGUCAAGUCCUCAUGGCCCUUACGGGUUGGGCUACACACGUGCUACAAUGGCGGCGACAAUGGGCAGCGAAGGGGCGACCCGGUGCAAAUCCCAAAAGCCGUCUCAGUUCGGAUUGUACUCUGCAACUCGAGUGCAUGAAGGUGGAAUCGCUAGUAAUCGCGUAACAGCAUGACGCGGUGAAUACGUUCCCGGGCCUUGUACACACCGCCCGUCACACCAUGGGAGUUGGUUUUACCCGAAGCUGGUGCGCUAACCGCAAGGAGGCAGCCAACCACGGUAAGGUCAGCGACUGGGGUGAAGUCGUAACAAGGUAGCCCUAGGGGAACCUGGGGCUGGAUCACCUCCUUUCUG
rnacentral:rRNA from 1 species